UACAGAUGGGAUUGUAUUGUUGAUCUUAAAUAGGCCGCGUGUUUAGGUUGCUUUCCAUGGGCUUCAUCAAUAAUUUGUGGACCUAGGUCCACGCUCGAUCACGAGCCAUUUAGAUGUAUUUUCAUAAGGAGAGGCAUAGCUAGAGGAAUAUAGAAGAGCAGAGGAAUAUUAGAAGGAGAGAUUAAAUCCUUAGAUAUCUAAUGGAAUAACUAUGGCGAGGGCAUCGCUCUAUAUAAACCUGACACUGAAACACUAUAGUGUAGGUAGCAAAAAGGG
rnacentral:rRNA from 1 species